AGGAUUCUCCCUCCAUCCCAAAAUUCUUGACUUAGUUUUGUCUAGAUAUGAAUGUAUCUAGUCAAGUUUUGGUAUUUAGAUACAUCCAUUUCUAGACAAACCUAUGACAAGAAUUUUUGGAUGGAGAGAGUAGUUG
rfam:Hordeum vulgare subsp. vulgare, WGS project CAJW01000000 data, contig: morex_contig_41545